ensembl:lincRNA
UUCCUGCUGUCAGUCCCCUUACAAGUAUACGCUCUCUGUCCUGUCACACAGAUCUGCUGCCUGUCCUGUCACACAGAUCUGCUGCCUGUCCCGUCACACAGAUCUGCUCUCUGUCCUGUCACACAGAUCUGCUGCCUGUCCUGUCACACAGAUCUGCUCUCUGUCCUGUCACACAGAUCUGCUGCCUGUCCCAUCACACAGAUCUGCUCUCUGUCCUGUCACACAGAUCUGCUGCCUGUCCUGUCACACAGAUCUGCUCUCUUUUCUGUCACACAGAUCUGCUGCCUGUCCCAUCACACAGAUCUGCUGCCUGUCCUGUCACACAGAUCUGCUGUCUUGUCCCUCACACAGAUCUGCUGUCUUGUCCCUCACACAGAACUGCUGACACUCCUGUCACACAGAUCUGCUGUCUUGUCCCUCACACAGAACUACUGUCACUCCUGUCACACAGAUCUGCUGUCUUGUCCCUCACACAGAUCUGCUGCCUGUCCUGUCACACAGAUCUGCUGUCUUGUCCCUCACACAGACCCGCUGCCUGUCCUGUCACACAGACCCGCUGCCUGUCCCCUUGCAAGUCUACAGGAUGUCGCAGUCGUGUUUCUGGCUGCCCUUGCCGGCGGCUGGCGUGAAGAACUCGGGCCUCCCCUCCGCCCUGUUGGCCUGCACCAUCGCCUCGAUCUUCUCCAGCAGCUGGGCGGCCUGGGCGCGGCCCUGCUCCCCCCUGUUCUCGAGGACGUGCAGCCUGCCCCCGCAGCGGUCCACCAGCGCCUGCAGCUGCUCGUUCUCGCCCGCGAAGGCCUCGGCGCUCUUGCCCUUCAGGUCCUUCCCGCGGGUCAGCAGCACGACGGUGUAGCGCGCGGCCUCGCCGCCGAACAGCCGCAGCAGCCGGUCCGCGUCCCGCCGCCGGUUCUCCGUGAAGGGCUCCACCUUCAGCACCAGCAGGAAGGCGUGGGGCCCCGGGGCGCAGAGGGACAGCGCCCCCGCGAUCUUCCCUUCCGUGGCCUCGGAGAACCCCGGCGUGUCGACCACGACGACCGGCCUCCCGCCGGGCUCCCCCGCCCUCCGCUCGCAGGCCGUGGUCACGGCGCCGGGGGAGCGCUCCGCCCGGAACGCCUGCUCUCCCAGGAGGGCGUUCCCGCUGCUGCUCUUCCCAGUGCCCAUUUUCCCCAGCAGCACGAUCCGCAGCUCUCCUUGCCCUGCGGACGAGAGGCGCGGCGUCAUUCCCGCGCUGCCCUGUGCCACCCUGUCGAACCCCUCCCAGGAUAUUGCCCCGUUUUUAGAAAACAAACUUUCAAAAGUGUGGGAAUUCGCUCCCUGUGCUGGGUGAGAUCUGCCAGACGUUACUAUGGCCAGGAAGUCACCCAGUGGGUUUAUGGGUUUAUGGGAGUUGUAGUUCAAGACAUCUCCUAUUAACCCACUGGGUGACUCUCUGGCUGCCCAGCAUCUGUGUUAGCUAUCCGAUCCAGCUUCUGUUCCUGCCUCUCUGCGACUGAUUUAACCCACGUGCCCUGGCAGGAGGAGUAAACGUGUAGCUACAGCCAGCUCUGAAGAGUACUCGAUGAUUCGGGUCUGUGUCACUGGCACUGACUCGUGCUCCAUCGGAGUCACAGGAUCAGGUGCCCCCAGCUCUAGAAGUAGGGGUGCGCACCCCACAGCCGGGGACCCAGUGGGUUUGGCGUGGUAUUUACAGGACAGGGCUGGCUCGGCAAGACAGCACCAUGCCAGUCCGGUCCGGUGCAGGUCUUCGACGCAGCCGGCUGCUGAGUUACAGGACCGGAUUCAGGGAGCGCCCCGCUCCGACACGCCCCUGCGAAACAGGAGCGCUGGCUCACCGCAGCGGCAGGGCUCUGCCUGGCGGGCCGGCUGGCGGCGCCGAUCCUGUUCACACAAGUGCGGAUCUGCCCUGGGUUUGAUCCCUGUGGGAGAGGUGCCCCCCUGACUCUACCCCCCCCCCUCCCCACCUUCACAGCUCCGGAUGGGGGAGACCACGUGGCCACACAUUGUGUUUACACAUCGCGUGUGCUGAGACAGGAACAUUGGGGACCCCUUCCCACAGUGCCGUGUGAAGAGGCGGGUCUCCAGAGGGCAGCGGGGGUGUGGCUUGGAGCACAGGCCCCGCCCCCAGCCCUCUGGCGCUUGCUGUCUCAUUCUGACAUCACAGGAGCUGGAGGCGUCAUCACUGGGAAACUCCUGCUCUCUGUGCAGGGGGUUGGGAACGUUCGUCGGAAAACGUCCUCAGCCACUGCCCACCCACUGACGCCCUCCCCCACAGAGCAGCUGCACCUGUCUUGUGAGCUCCAGGUGUUUCUUGCCCAGACCAGCUCAAUCUGUGGGCAAGAGCCAGAGUCCGGGCUCUGUGUCACUCCAGACUGACACGGCUCUAAAACCUGUGGUCUAUCUGGGCAAUGUGCUGUGCACACCUCCUCCCCUCACACUGACCCUGCGUAGCUCUCGUCUCUCUCAGUGUCUCCUCCCUGUGCUGCCCUGCCCUGUGUCUCACAGCUCUGCUGGCAGGAUCCCAGCUGCUGUCUCCCACACGCCCAGCAGUCUGUGAUUCAGAGGACUCAGCGCAGGGCUGGUUCAGAGUCACAGCCUCCCGGGCUAGAGACACAGGGAUAUUCCCAGAGGGAAUUUAUGGAUUCUGCAGCCUGUCGCUGGAGAGAAAUGGCCUCUUCAGAUUGUUCUCUGGUUGCUAGUGACGAUGAACUCCUCCCCCUCCCGCUGUCCUGCAGGGGGAGGGGCUGUAUGACUGCUGGCACAGAAACACGCUCCCGGCUCCUGUUUUCCAUAAGGAGCUUCCCAAUGGGAAAGGGAGGCGAGGAAUGGUGAAGAGCAGCUCCUCCCCCUCUCCUACAGGAGCUGCACGAGGCUGAAGAGAACGGUGGCCACCCUCUGAACUGCAGGCUCUCCGUCUCCAGCGGAAAGCAGGCUGGACUCUCACCACACCCUUUCCGGUUUCUCCAUCGCUACAGCCCUGGAGACUCCAGGACAGCAGGGAGAAUCUGAGUCCUGCUCAGCAGCACACGGAGCCCGACCAGAACCGGGUCGGCGCGCGGCUCUGAACAGGCUGUGCCGCGUGUCAGCGGGCCUGACAGAGCAGCUCUUUGUUCUCAAUCCGCGCAGGAAAGAGGAAGCAGAGAGACACACAGGCAGGAGGAAACAGCCCUCAGAUCGCACUGCUGCCUCUCCAGGUGCUGCUGCAGCUCGUUCUGCCCCAGUCUGCCCCAGUCUGCCCCAGUCUGCCCCAGUCUGCCCCAGUCUGCCCCCUGGCUCUGCCCCCCCACCAGGCAGAGCAGCCUGGAGACCAUGAAGAAGAGGCCCUGUGCCCUGAACGUCUCACACCCUCUCUGCCCUGAACACAGACACUCUCCACCGCGACGCCACACUGCCUGAAUGAACAAGCCACGCCAGAGCACUGAACACAGCUGUGUGCAUCCAGACCCAACACUACAGCCAAUCUCUCAGCCUGGGCAGGACAGGGGCUCAGACUGCAGCCCCACUAAAGUCUACACCGUCUACAGGCUGGCUCGGAGCUCCUCAAUCUCAAGCAGAAGACCACUGACCUGCCAUAGUGCCUGCGGUGCUCCUGAGCCGGGGAGAGGGUGCUGUCCGUGUGGCGCAGGAGACGGGUGCUCAGUGCGUCUCGGCGCGCUCAGCCAGAGAGCAGGCAGGCAGAGCAGGUCCUGAGCGAAGGAUUGCGGUCUCCGAGAGGUUUCGGUUCUAGCCCUUGUUUAUCAGAAAGGGAGGCAGGUCCACAGGAGUCCGCCCUCUGACGUAGCUCUGUCCUCCCUCCCCCUGGACUAGUCUGCAGGCAAAUGAGCUCCUGGAUUGUGUAGACAGAGGUUGGUGAGCAGCGAGAAGAGAUGACGUGGCAGACGUCACGGGGAGGGACUGUCAGGCUGGUCUUCCUCUUUCUGUGCCAGGCUCACAGCUCCGCACACUGGCCCACACUGCCUCUCUGCCUCGCCUGCCAGUCCCUCAGCUCUAAUCAGGACCCCACACUGCCUCC